GAUGAACGCUGGCGGCGUGCCCAAUACAUGCAAGUCGAGCGAACGGACGAGAAGCUUGCUUCUCUGAUGUUAGCGGCGGACGGGUGAGUAACACGUGGAUAACCUACCUAUAAGACUGGGAUAACUUCGGGAAACCGGAGCUAAUACCGGAUAAUAUUUUGAACCGCAUGGUUCAAAAGUGAAAGACGGUCUUGCUGUCACUUAUAGAUGGAUCCGCGCUGCAUUAGCUAGUUGGUAAGGUAACGGCUUACCAAGGCAACGAUGCAUAGCCGACCUGAGAGGGUGAGCGGCCACACUGGAACUGAGACACGGUCCAGACUCCUACGGGAGGCAGCAGUAGGGAAUCUUCCGCAAUGGGCGAAAGCCUGACGGAGCAACGCCGCGUGAGUGAUGAAGGGCUUCGGAUCGUAAAACUCUGUUAUUAGGGAAGAACAUAUGUGUAAGUAACUGUGCACAUCUUGACGGUACCUAAUCAGAAAGCCACGGCUAACUACGUG
rnacentral:rRNA from 1 species